CAUAUCAAUAAGCUGAGGAAAAGAAACCAACAGGGAUUGCCCCAGUAACGGCGAGUGAAGCGGCAGCAGCUCAAAUUUGAAAUCUGGCCCCCUGGGGCCCGAGUUGUAAUUUGCAGAGGAUGCUUUUGGCGAGGCGCCUUCCGAGUUCCCUGGAACGGGACGCCGUAGAGGGUGAGAGCCCCGUCUGGUUGGACGCCGAGCCUCUGUAAAGCUCCUUCGACGAGUCGAGUAGUUUGGGAAUGCUGCUCUAAAUGGGAGGUAUAUGUCUUCUAAAGCUAAAUACCGGCCAGAGACCGAUAGCGCACAAGUAGAGUGAUCGAAAGAUGAAAAGCACUUUGAAAAGAGGGUUAAACAGUACGUGAAAUUGUUGAAAGGGAAGCGCUCACGACCAGACUUGGGCCCGGCGGAUCAUCCGGCGUUCUCGCCGGUGCACUCCGCCGGGCUUCCAGGCCAGCAUCAGUUCGCGCCAGGGGACAAAGGCUCGGGGAAUGUAGCUCCCCUGGGAGUGUUAUAGCCCCCUGCGCAAAUGCCCUGGGGCGGACUGAGGUUCGCGCGUCCCGCAAGGAUGCUGGCGUAAUGGUCGUCAGCGACCCGUCUUGAAACACGGACCACCGUUUAUGGAAAACCGGAUCUGUUUUUUUUUUUUUUUCGCC
rnacentral:rRNA from 1 species